UACGGGGGGGGCAAGCGUUGUUCGGAAUUACUGGGCGUAAAGCGCGCGUAGGCGGCCCUUCAAGUCGGGCGUGAAAGCUCCGGGCUUAACCCGGAAAUUGCGUUCGAUACGGGCGGACUAGAGGUAGGUAGGGGAGAACGGAAUUCUUGGUGUAGCGGUGAAAUGCGCAGAUAUCAGGAGGAACACCGGUGGCGAAGGCGGAUCUCUGGGCAAUAACUGACGCUGAGGAGCGAAAGCGCUGGGGAGCGAACAGG
rnacentral:rRNA from 1 species